CGGGUGAGUAACACGUGAGUAACCUGCCCUCCACUUCGGGAUAACCUCGGGAAAUCGUGGCUAAUACCGGAUAUGAGCACUCAUCGCAUGGUGGGUGCUGGAAAGAUUUAUCGGUGGGGGAUGGACUCGCGGCCUAUCAGUUUGUUGGUGAGGUGAUGGCUCACCAAGACGAUGACGGGUAGCCGGCCUGAGAGGGCGACCGGCCACACUGGGACUGAGACACGGCCCAGACUCCUACGGGAGGCAGCAGUGGGGAAUAUUGCACAAUGGGCGAAAGCCUGAUGCAGCGACGCCGCGUGGGGGAUGACGGCCUUCGGGUUGUAAACCCCUUUCAGUAGGGAAGAAGCGAGAGUGACGGUACCUGCAGAAGAAGCGCCGGCUAACUACGUGCCAGCAGCCGCGGUAAUACGUAGGGCGCAAGCGUUGUCCGGAAUUAUUGGGCGUAAAGAGCUUGUAGGUGGCUUGUCGCGUCUGCCGUGAAAACCCGAGGCUCAACCUCG
rnacentral:rRNA from 1 species